UGCCACUGCACUCCAGCCUGGGCGACAGAGUGAGACUCUGUCUCAAAAAAAUGAAUAAAUACAAAAAUAAAGUUAAUUGUUCUUAGAUAGUACAAAUCUGCCUUCUAAUAGUAUAGCAGGAGCCCUCUCAUCAGAAACCUUUAGUUGUUUGGUUAAUCUAAAAAGUUAUUUAAAUCAGGGUGUCAUAAAAAGUACAUAUAUAGACAUUUUAACUUUAAAUAUUCUAUAUUUACCACUUAUUUACUAUAGGAUCCAGGUUUUUUCUAACUUUUUAGUGUACAUCUACUCAGUCGGGCUGUUGGUGAUAUAGUGGUACAGCAUAGCUGCCUUCCCAUAUAGGUCUGCUGAUAGAUGUUCUCUAAUUGUCUUUCUUGAAUUCCUGGCCUCAAGGAUCCUCCCACCUCAGCCUCUCAAGUAGCUGGGAUUACAAGCUGGAGCUUGUAAUCUAAUUAUCUUUCUUAUACAAAUUACAUGCAUUACAUUACAUAGGUGUGAACCACAGAUGCAGAAUUCUUGAAGAUUUUUACUAUAUUUUCCCCCAAUCUUUUAGAGCAGUUUUGCCCACAGUUAACCAAUAGCUUUUUUUUUUUUUUAAAUUUUUAAAGUCAACAAACUUUUAUCUAGUCUUUCCAAAGUAUUUAACUUGGCUUUAACAGAAACUAGAACUCUUCACGCUUGCGUCCUUGGCUCAUAUUAUCAUCAUAAAAAGUUCACCUGGCAUAAUCAGUUUGUUUGGUAACUGUAUUUGUUUCCUAGAGCAGUUGUAACAAAUUACCACUCCACAAGUGGCUUAAAAUGAGAAAUUUAUUCUCUCACACUUCCGGUGGCUAGAAAUCCAAAAUCAAGGCGUCAGCAGGGCCAUGCUCCCUCUCCAAUCUCUGCCUAGUCGUCACAUGGCCUUCUGUCUCUGUGUCCUUUUCUGUCAUUUAUAAGGAUACUGUCAUUGGAUUUAGAACCUACUCAUAUCCAAUAUCAGCUUAUCUCAAUACUUACCUAUUACAUCUGCAAAGACAUGAUUUCCAAGUGAGAAUACAUUCUGAGGUUGCAGGUGGACAUAAAUUACUGGGGAACACUAUUUGACCCACUACAGUCACAAACUCAAACAGCCUUUGGUAAACAUACCUUGCAGCAAAUGGGAAUAGAAAACACAACCCCUACUCAGGUUAAACAACAGAAAUUUAUUUUCUCACAGUGUUGGAGGCUGAAAAUCCAAGAUCAAGGUAUCAGCAGAUUUGGUUUCUUCAAAGACUUCUCUCCUUGACUUGCAGAUGGCACCUUCUCACUGUCUUUAUAUGGCCUUUCCUCUGUGCACUUGUAUCCCUGGUGUGUCUUCCCCUUCUUAUAAGGACAUCAAUCCUAUUGGCUUUAGGGCCCCACCCUUAUGACCUCACUUAACCUUAGUUACCUCUUUAAAGGCCCUGUUUCGAAAUAUAGCCAUGUACCACAUAACAGCUUUUCAGUCAAUAAUGGACUGCAUAUAUGUUGGUGGUGCCAUACGAUUAUAAUGGAGCUAAAAAUUCCUAUCACCUAGUGACAUCAUAGCCAUCAUAAGGUAGCACAACACGAUAAUCAUGUUGUUUAUGGUGAUGCUGGUAUAAACAAACCUGUGCUGCCAGUCAUAUAAAAAUCUAGCACAUAAAAUGAUGUAAGGUAUAUAGUACUUAAUAAAUGGCUAGGUUACUGGUUUAUGCAUUACUGUGCUAUAUGUUUUGUCAUUAUUUUAGAGUGUACUUCUACUUAAAAAAAAGUUAACUGUGAAACAGCAUAAGGCAGGCCCUUCAGGAGGUCUGUGAGAAGAAGGCAUUGUUACAGGAGAUGACAGCUCCGUGGGUAUUAUUGCCCCUGAAAACCUUCUAAGCAGGACAAGAUGUGGAGAUGGAAGACAGUGACAUUGAUGAUCCUGACCCCGUAGACAGGCUGAAGUGGUGCAGUCAUAGCUUACUGUAGUCUUGACCUACUGGGCUCAAGCAAUCCUCCUGCCUCAGCCUCCUGAGUAACUAGGACUACAGGGCAGCCUUGAACAUACCAGGAAGCAAUAGGAAAAAACUGGAGAAAGUGAAAAGGCUGCGAUGAAGGAAAAGAGGAGACAAACAAGGGUGACAUUGGCUGGGCAGCAAAGAUGACCAAAAGGCCAAGAAGCCUGUGCUGUUCCAGUAUUGAUCCGGUGCUCCUCCGUCACCAUCCGACCACAGAACCUCAGGCUGAUAGUUGUUCACUAACUCAUAGAGCUCUGGCAAUGUCUUAGAAACUGGAAAUUGCCGCUUAUGGAAUGAACUGGAUUCAUCCUCAAGGAAGAGCGGAUGAAACCAUUCAAAAAGGGAAUAGUACAGUCCAAAACGCAGGUUCUGGCUCUGUCACCCAGGCUGGAGUUCAGUGGUGCGAACUUCGCUCACUGCAUCCUCGACCUCCUGGGCUCAAGUGAUGCUCCCACCUCAGCCUACCAAGUAGCUAGGACUACAGCUUGGGAAAGUUCCUAGACAUCAGGAAAUCAGCAUGUUCUCAAGCAAAUACACUUGAUAGACAUUCAUCUCAGCAGGAUAAAUAUCUACAGGAGAAAAUCAUGAAGCUACCAGAAUGUGGCCAAAGGGAAAAAUAUCCUAUGAUCAUUCCAGAUUUUUUGUGUUGGUUCUCCUCUCCUAUUCCCAUCCCAUCCCUGGAGAAAACAAUAAGGCAAAGUUUCCCGUUUUUUUUUUUUUUUUUUUUUGAGACAGGAUCUCCCUCCGCCACCUAGACUGGAGUGUAGUAAGCCUAUCUCCGCUCACUGCAGCCUCAAGCAGUCCUCCAACCUAAGCCUCCCAAGUAGCUGGGACUACAGAGACAUACCACUACGCUAAUUUUUUAGUUUUUGUUUGUUUGUUUGUUUUUGUAGAGACAGGGUCUCACUAUGUUGCCCAGGCUGGUCUUGAACCCCUGGGCUCAAAUGAUCCUCCUUCCUCGGCCUCCCAAAAUUUUGGGAUUACAGACAUGAGCGACCACAUCCAGUGCAAAUUUUUUUAUACCAAGGCAAAGAUGAUCAUGCAAAAGAAACUAAUGAAUGAACAAGCCGUUGGAACAAAAACAAUUUGUUAAUGCUUCCCUGGCCUUACAAAUACUGGAGUGGUAAUGGGUGGAAUCCAUUCUAUUAAAAUAGAAUGGAUUUUAAAUGUGUGGGGGUUUAGAUAUUCUUCUACCACCUCUGAUUUUUCUGGAAACCAUUACAGUUCCACAAUCCUUUUCCCUCCAGGUGAUCUGGGUCACUUUCAUCACUUUCAUCACUAUCAGUUCAUCCACUAUUUGCACCAUUUGGCCAGCUAAGAGUUGGCUAAAAGUGCAGCCAGGUGUGUCGUAAUGAUGCAAGACUAUAGCAGUAUAAUCCCCAUGAUGCAUUCACAGGAUGCAUUACAGAGAAGGGGAAGGAAAGAGUGCAAUUCCAAGAUGAACUUUGACUUGCAACCCACACUCCCUUCAACAAACAGCUUUAAGUAAAUCUUGGAAAUAUUGUUCAAAAUACAUGUGACAAAACGUGACCAUCUUUCCUCUGUUACGUGGCGGGUAUGAUCCUUUCUGUAUUCCUAACAUCUCUCAAUUUGGGUUGAAUGUGCAGUCCCUAAGUCAUAAGCAAGUGCCAGUCACCACUUAUGGUUGCUCCGAAGAGAAAAUUAGACCUUGCUUUAGUUUUUUCUUCCAAAAGAACAACUUUUCAUUUCUUAACCAUUGUCAGCAAUUUCCAUAGGCUGGAUUGACUUACCUUCAUGAUGUUUGGAAGUUAAGACAAUGUAUUUGGCACCAGAGGCCUGAAAAAUAUCUGCCCACUGGUUGGCAUUAAAAAAUUUUGCUGU
rnacentral:lncRNA from 1 species